GUCAGGAUGGCCGAGCGGUCUAAGGCGCCAGACUCAAGGUUUACCUUGGCCUGCAAUGCAGGCUUGAUUUGAGCGUUCUGGUCCUCAUCUGAGGGCGUGGGUUCGAAUCCCACUUCUGACA
rfam:Acyrthosiphon pisum strain LSR1 Contig23691, whole genome shotgun sequence.